CAGCGGGUUAAGCGCAGGUGGCGCUAAGCACAAGGACCAGCGGAAGGAUCCCGUUCGAACCCCUGGCUCCCCACCUGCAGGGGAGUCGCUUCACAGGCGGUGAAGCAGGUCUGCAGGUGUCUAUCUUUCUCUCCCUCUCUCUGUCUUCCCCUCCUCUCUCCAUUUCUCUCUGUCCUAUCCAACAACGACAACAACAAUAAUAACUACAACAAUAAAACAACAAGGGCAACAAAAGGGAAUAAAUAAAUAAAAUAAAUAUUUAAAAAAA